UCUGGGAUGGCAAAAUACAUGUGAAAGUGUUGAGGAUAUAGCAGCAACAUUGGCAGCUCUUAGCACGGAGAUAGAUAUCAGCGUUCUGUACCGUGGUCUAGAUCCAAAAAAACAUGCAUAGCUUGGUUUCAGUGGUAUGCUAUUAUGGGCAACAUUAUCAUUGCUUUGCCUAUAGUCAUCAUACAUAAUCCAUCGUUCAUGCUCCUGACCAAGACUGUCAAGGUGAUUGGGAGCUGGGCGGAUGUUCUUUCCAUGUGUGAAAGAGGACACUUGCAACCUCAGGUUCUUUUCUUUGAAGCUACAAACUAGUGGUUAGUGGAACUUAUCGAAUUAUUCUCUACACAAGAGAGCACUGAGUUCGGCAUGGCUUGACAUUUGAUUGCUGUAUGGGGUGAGGUUUUUGUAGUGAUGCAUUGCGGCUUUGCCCUGACACAGUUCAUAUGAUGAAACAUACAGCUUUGUUUUGAAGAACUUGUAAGUUUUGAUACAAGCCUUCUCAGGGAAGAAUAACAAAUCAAGAGAAUUUUCUUUUGGCUUGAAGAAAGCAGUAACACAAGAGACUGAAGGUGUAAAUUUUUGGUACUCUUGCAUCAGAAAACUUUUGACAGGGUAAUGGAGAUUUUUCCAUGGAAUUUUCAUGGAUCUGUCCAAUAAGGUGGUUUGGUUGAGAAAAAGAGCAGCAUUUUCCUGGUUACCUGCCUGUGAAUGCAUUAAAAGAACUUAUGAUGCUUCUCAUGAGACAAAUAAUGAUCGGUUAUUGCCAGGAGCAUAUACUAAAGCAAUUGUAAGUGGGGAAUUAAGUUAAAAUUAGAUCGAAACUCUCUUCUGGAUGAACAAUUUUUCAGAAUUUUUGCCCCUUUAGAAGAGGUUCUGUAUAGGUCACAUCAUAGUCCCUUAGAUUUUCUAACUUUCCACACGCAGCUUAUU
rnacentral:misc_RNA from 1 species